GACGAACGCUGGCGGCGUGCUUAACACAUGCAAGUCGAACGGAAAGGCCCUGCUUUUGUGGGGUGCUCGAGUGGCGAACGGGUGAGUAACACGUGAGUAACCUGCCCUUGACUUUGGGAUAACUUCAGGAAACUGGGGCUAAUACCGGAUAGGAGCUCCUGCUGCAUGGUGGGGGUUGGAAAGUUUCGGCGGUUGGGGAUGGACUUGCGGCUUAUCAGCUUGUUGGUGGGGUAGUGGCUUACCAAGGCUUUGACGGGUAGCCGGCCUGAGAGGGUGACCGGCCACAUUGGGACUGAGGUACGGCCCAGACUCCUACGGGAGGAAGCAGUGGGGAAUAUUGCGCAAUGGGCGGAAGCCUGAUGCAGCAACGCCGCGUGCGGGAUGACGGCCUUCGGGUUGUAAACCGCUUUCGCCUGUGACGAAGCGUGAGUGACGGUAAUGGGUAAAGAAGCACCGGCUAACUACGUG
rnacentral:rRNA from 1 species